GUCACUGCAGUGGCAGUGGUGUACCCUAUGGGGUUUAUCUGAGGCAUGAUUCCUGCUAGUUGAAAACUUUACCCAAUACCCCGCCUUGAUGACUUCAAAUAUAGUCGGCUGUGGCAAUUUUUGAUUGUGAUCAAAAUGA